rnacentral:rRNA from 1 species
AUACGGAGGGUGCAAGCGUUAAUCGGAAUUACUGGGCGUAAAGCGUACGUAGGCGGUUAUUUAAGUCAGAUGUGAAAGCCCCGGGCUUAACUUGGGAACUGCAUUUGAAACUGGGUAACUAGAGUUUAGUAGAGGGGAGUGGAAUUCCAGGUGUAGCGGUGAAAUGCGUAGAGAUCUGAAGGAACACCAGUGGCGAAGGCGACUCCCUGGACUAAAACUGACGCUGAGGUACGAAAGCGUGGGUAGCAAACAGGAUUAGAAACCCUAGUAGUCC